ensembl:lncRNA
CCGGGAGGCAGGGUGCACUUGAAGUAUUGGAAACAUUGCUUCAAAGAUCUGUGCGCUCUGAAGGAUGCUAAAUGCGGCGCGACUGGCGGUGCUGGGGAGACAGGAUUCCCCCGGCCGUCUUUUAUGGGGAAUCUCUUCUUCCCCUUCAUCCCUACGUCCUAUUCUAGCCGCCGACCAACUUGGUGCCUGGGAUUGCCUCGCUCGUGGAUGUAGAACCUGGAACCGCGGGAGGGUGAGCGCUAAUGAGAGUCCUUUGGGGAUGCCGUGGGGUUGCCACGGGGCUGGGGUGCUGGCGAAAGAGGAGCUGUUUGCACGUUGUAGAGCCACCGGGGAAAGGACUGGAGGAGCGAGGCCGUGUUCCAGGGCACAGCACAGAGCGUUUGCGGAAGGAUUGACAGGCGGAGUAGACCUAACCAGUGUGCUCCGAGCACAUCUGGGCAUAGUUAAUUUGGGAAAUACUUCAUCUUUCAGAUGCUUUCCCUUAGAUUUACAUCAUCUGGAGCUCUGGAGCCGAGCUGCUGCCCUGGGCGGGUGCACGGAGGACAGAACCCUCAGUUACAGCUGGGUAACCCCGGACCUGAAUGGAGGGGGCCUGAACAACCAGAGGUGGACGUUUUCUGCGAAUGCAGGGCCACUGGUCCAGAGGUCUAACCACCCCUGACUCCUCUUGCCAGAGAUUGGAGCACUGGGACUUGUAAGUGCUAUGAAUCUGCAGUUCACCUUGGAAAGAGAACUAUUUCAAGUUGAAGGUGAAUGACCUCACACGUUCUCCAAAAUGUCUAAUAGAUUCCCAGCACAGUCCUACUUCAGUCUUAGGGCACAGCUGUAGGUACAGGACUGAUGCCAUCUGGUGUAAUUUCACAACAUCAGAGGGAAUUCAGCCAGAGUGGGCCAUGCGCUGGCUUUUCUGGGAAAGAUGUGCUGCCAAGAUUUGUUUUGGAUUCACUUGCAGGGGUGAGAACUUGGAAUUAGGUGAGUGCAAACUAUGCAGUACCCCGUUUUUAGGCUGGCAUUUUAUGUUUCCAGUUCUGUCUGUAGUUUCAAAAUAAGUACAAAAAGAGUGAAGUUUUUUUAAAUGGCUGAAAUUUUAAACAUUGUGGAAUGGUUAAACCGUUUAGGAUUGUGGGAAAUGCUUCCUUUUCCUAACUCAUCCUUUCUAAUCUAGGGACGUGUAGGAUAGUGAUGGUCCUAAUGCAGUACUCAGAAAGUAUCAGCAGGUACUGUUCUAGGUCGUCACUGGUACAGCUGCUCUGAGGCACUUGGGCUGACGUACGCUAAAUCCACAGUUAAGUCUGCUCUGGGAUCACUGGGAAAUCUCGGCCCCAUGUCUGUGUCCCAUGCAGGGCGGAUUGAGUGGUAGGUGUCUGGUGCUGAUUUUUGGUUGUUGUUUGAAUCAGUGAAAUAAAUUCUCAAUUCUCCAUUUCUCACUUCGUGUACACAAAAUAAAGUUAUACAUUAAGUAAUGAUCUGAUUAACUAUCUUAAUAGUUAGCAUCUUACCCUGUAAGAAUUUGGGUAAUCAGAAGGGCAGACCUGUGUUUCGAACAGUAAUCAGAACAUAAUGGGCACUCAGAAAACUUCCAGAUGGGUUGAGCUAAAAAGCCUUAUUUUCAUUAAUAACAGCUAUUUUAUAUAAGCCGAACCAUUUCCUCCAUUCUUGAUCUGUGUAGACAUGGGUGGGUUCAAGUUGAAAUUUUUGUGCUCAGCUUUUGUUUUAUUUAUAUGACUCUGAAGUUACUUGAACUUACUGAAUAUGUAUAGAUUCUUCAGGCAAGAUAUUUUCUACUUUCAGAUGGAAAUCUUGCUUUCCUAUUGGGAAUCCAGGUGGAUUGCUACCUUGAAGUUACUGCACUGAACAGUGGCUUAAACAAAGCAGGGGUUUUGUUCUCUAGUAACAAGGAGGUUGGGGUAGGUGAUUGCUGUGUUGGUUCAGCAGCUCACAGAUGUCAGGGUCAGGGUGGCCUCUCGGGUGCCCUUGCCUUUCCCUCAGGUGGCUGCAGUUCCCCUAAAGAAGCUGGAGAAGGCCAAAGGUCAUGCCAGUUCGAAUUGCUCCCUUUUAGAGAGUUUUCUCAGCCGCCCAACAACUGCCAGACUGUGUCACUGGCUACUGCUAUCCACAGAGUGGCCUGAGAAAUAUAGUCUUGGUAGCUGGGCAUAUAACUGCCUUCAACAAAAAUCUGAGUUCUCGUCAUGAGGUAGAUGAUGAUAGAUCUGGAGUGAACAACUAGCCUGUGUCCUGGCUACAAAGUACAGCUGUAAAGGCGCACAGCUUCGGGGCAGAUCAGCACUCUAGCACCUUCACAGGUGGCCGCCCGCCCAGCACCGCUGCUCUGCUCGCAGAGAGCGAGCGCAGAGUGAAGACGGGCUAGGCUUUCUUGCCAGCACUUGCCAAGACUGAGCUGGACUCUCAGCCAAUACACUUGCCCACAUCAGGAUUUUCCAGAGGAGGACCCUGGGAACGUGCACACUCCCUUGGUGGACAUACUCUCUUUAUGGAGGUUCGGAAUGGCAUGAAGAAUAUUCCUACCUUGCUGCUUCCUCAUCGGCUUCAUGUUUCUCUUCUCCAAUUUUCCUGACAGAUUUUUGGAGGAGUCUUGUUUGUGUAUGUGAUCUCCAUACAAGGAUCAUCCCUUUCAUGCCCAGAGGAGGGUCUAUGUAAAGAAAGCUGCUUUACCCCUUUUUGUGACUCCACUACCAAUCUAGGAAUCUCCUGGGUGAAAAACUGCUUCUCAAAACUGCUUCUAUAAGCAGCCCACACCCUGGCUAAGCAAAGGGAGAGGAAACACUUCCCACGUCCAGGGCUGUUCAAAAGAACUUUCUGUGAUGACAGAAAUGUUCUGUCUGCACUGUCCAAGAGGGCAGCCCCUAGCCCCAGUGAACACUUGAAAUGUGGCUAGUGUGACAUUUACAUAAAAAGUACAUUGUAAGUAAUGUAAAUGCAAGUGGCCACGUGUGGCUGGUGGCUGUGGUGUGGCACAGCGGGGCACACACGGCAUCUUGCACUUUAGAGCCAGCUGGGAGGGGUUUGAGCCAGCCCUGCGCCAGGCGUUCCGUGGUCUUCACUAUUCCGCCUUGCCGUUGAACUUGUCUUCUGGAGAAAAAGGAAAAAAUGGAACUAAAUUCAAGAUGUUCACUUGACAUCUCCUCAUUGCACGCAUAAUGGAGAGGGGUCUCCUGGGAAUCGGUCCUGUGAUUGAUUUUAGCGAUUAUUGAUAAUGGGAAAAUGGCGGAGCUGAUCCACGUAGCAAUUCCUAGGGAACAUUGUGUGUUCCUGGUCAGAUAAGUCAGCGGAGAUUAUUUUGUUCUAUUGUGCAAUUCAUUGUGUUACUUUAUUUUUGUUGUAUUAUGGCUGCUAAAUGAUGAUUUCGUGUAUGUUUUUCAAAAUACUUAGUGGUUUAUAUUUUUUUAAAGGCUGUGAAAUAAAAAAUAA